rnacentral:rRNA from 1 species
ACUGGCGAACGGGUGAGUAACGCGUAGGUCAUCUGCCCAUAUCUCAGACAUAACUUCGCGAAAGUGGAGCUAAUAUCUGAUACGUACUUCGGUAUGAAAGCUUCGGUGGAUAUGGAUGAGCCUGCGUCUGAUUAGCUAGUUGGUGAGGUAACGGCUCACCAAGGCGACGAUCAGUAGCUGGUCUGAGAGGACGAUCAGCCACACUGGAACUGAGACACGGUCCAGACUCCUACGGGAGGCAGCAGUGAGGAAUUUUGCACAAUGGAGGAAACUCUGAUGCAGCGACGCCGCGUGUGGGACGAAGGGGCUAUGCCUCGUAAACCACUGUCGGCUGGGAAAAAAAGUCCGCUCGGCGGACUGGGAUUGUACCAGCAAAGGAAGGGACGGCUAACUACGUGCCAGCAGCCGCGGUAAUACGUAGGUCCCGAGCGUUGUCCGGAUUUACUGGGUGUAAAGGGUGCGCAGGCGGGCUUGUGCGUCGAGGGUUAAAGACCACGGCUCAACCGUGGGAGUGCCCUCGAUACGGCAGGUCUUGAAUAUGAGAGAGGAUAGUAGAAUUCCUGGUGUAGCGGUGAAAUGCGUAGAUAUCAGGAGGAAUACCAGUGGCGAAGGCGGCUAUCUGGCUCAUUAUUGACGCUCAGGCACGAAAGCGUGGGGAUCAAACAGGAUUAGAUACCCUGGUAGUCCACGCCCUAAACGAUGUAUGCUUGG